GAAGUGGUGGCUCAGUGGUUAAAUCUCUGGGUUUCUGAGCAGAAGGUUGGGGGUUCAAGCCCCACUACUACC